rnacentral:rRNA from 1 species
CUUGGUCAUUUAGAGGAAGUAAAAGUCGUAACAAGGUUUCCGUAGGUGAACCUGCGGAAGGAUCAUUACUGAUUUGCUUGAGAUGUGCUGGCAUUCAUUGCAUGUGCGCUCUUAUUCAUAUCUCUCACCUGUGCACUAUUAGGGCCAGUAAUGGCCCGAGUGGACUUAUAAGUCUGCGUCAAAUACCUUUUACUCGUGUAUAUAGAAUGUCAUAUUAUUAAAACAAAUUAUAACUUUCAACGACGGAUCUCUUGGUUCUCGCAUCGAUGACGAACGCAGCGAACAGCGAUAUGUAAUGUGAAUUGCAGAUCUCAGUGAAUCAUCGAAUCUUUGAACGCACCUUGCACCCUUUGGUAUUCCGAAGGGUAUGCCUGUUUGAGUGUCAUUAAUAUCAUCAACUAUAGUUCUUUGUGACUAUAACUUGGAUUUGGAGGUUGCUGGCUGCAAAGUCAGCUCUUCUUAAAUGCAUUAGCGGUACUAGCUGAAUCGGCUUCGGUUUGAUAGAAAUAUCUAUGCUGUCGCUGAGGAACAUUUGUACAGCUUACAAUUGUCUUCGGACUGCUUUUCAAGCACACAUUGACUCUUGACCUCAAAUCAGGUAGGACUACCCGCUGAACUUAAGCAUAUCAGUAAGCGGAGGAAAAGAAACUAACAAGGAUUCCCCCAGUAACUGCGAGUGAAGAGGGAAGAGCUCAAAUUUAAAAUCUGAUAGUCUCUGGCUGUCCGAGUUGUAAAUUAGAGAAGUGCUAUCCGCACUGGCCUGUGUACAAGUCUUUUGGAAAAAAGCAUCAUAGAGGGUGACAAUCCCGUCUAUUGACACAGACUCCCAGGGCUUAUGUGAUGCGCUCUCGACGAGUCGAGUUGUUUGGGAAUGCAGCUCUAAUUGGGUGGUAAAUUCCAUCUAAAGCUAAAUAUUGGCGAGAAACCGAUAGCGAACAAGUACCGUGAGGGAAAGAUGAAAAGAACUUUGGAAAGAGAGUUAAACCGUAUGUGAAAUCGUUGGAAGGGAAACGCUUAAAGUCAGUCGUCUUUGUUGGGGAUCAGCUUGGCACUUGUGUCUUGCGUACUUCCUAGCAGAGGGGUCAGCAUCAAUUUGGAUGGCUGGAUAAAGGCUCGAUGAAUGUGGCAUCUUCGGAUGUGUUAUAGCUUCGAGUCGGAUACAGUCGUUUGGAUUGAGGAACUCAGUGUGAAUCUGGGGCUUCGGCUCACAACCCGCACUUGGGAUGCUGGCAUAAUGGCUUUAAUCGACCCGUCUUGAAACACGGACC